AUGAAGGUGUGCAGGAUAGAGUCUUAGUGUGGUCUUCCAGAAGGCUACCUUUGCAGACGAUCAGGCUUGCUCACUGAAGGAAUGGGCUUUCAAAGUUGGGGAAUCAGGCUUUGCAGACGAUCAGGCUUGCUCACUGAAGGAAUGGGCUUGCAAAGUUGGGGAAUCAGGCUUUGCAGACGAUCAGGCUUGCUCACUGAAGGAAUGGGCUUGCAAAGUUGGGGAAUCCGGCUUUGCAGAUGAUCAGGCUUGCUCACUGAAGGAAUGGGCUUGCAAAGUUGGGGAAUCAGGCUUUGCAGACGAUCAGGC